GACGAAGGGGGCUAGCGUUGUUCGGAAUUACUGGGCGUAAAGCGAGUGUAGGUGGUUUUCCAAGUUGGAUGUGAAAGCCUUGAGCUCAACUCAAGAAAUGCAUUCAGGACUGGGAGACUAGAGGACCGGAGAGGAUAGUGGAAUUCCCAGUGUAGUGGUGAAAUACGUAGAGAUUGGGAAGAACACCAGUGGCGAAGGCGGCUACCUGGACGGUUUCUGACACUAAGACUCGAAAGCGUGGGGAGCAAACAGG
rnacentral:rRNA from 1 species